UUUAUUUUCUGUAGGCUGAGGACUAGUGUGGAGAAGGUUUAGCCUUUAGGAGGUCGUGGUUGCUGCUGUUACUUCUGUUAAAUGUUCCAGGACUUACUCCAUUUGGCUCCAGGACCGUACCUGCCCUUCUAAGAACUAUUCACAAUAGCAAAGACAUGGAAUCAACCUAAAUGCCCAUCAAUGAUAGACUGGAUAAAGAAAAUCUGGUAUAUAUACACCAUGGAAUACUAUGCAGCCAUAAAAAAGAAUGAGAUCAUGUCCUUUGCAGUGACAUGGAUGGAGCUGGAGGCCAUUAUCCUUAGAAAACUAACACAGGAACAGAAAACCAAAUGUCACGUGUUCUCACAUAUAAGUGAGAGCUAAAUGAUUUCCCUGGAACCCAUUCCUUAUACCAUGGAAGAAGCUCAUUCUAGUCCACAGAGAGAGACAUGAAGAGGCUCACAUAGAAAGGAAUGGAGAUCUCCAGCCAAGGGUCAAUAUAAAUUUCCAGAUGAGUGAAUGAAUGAGCCUUCAGAUGAUUCCAGUAUCCACCCUUUGGGUCUUUCAGAUGAGGCCUGAGACAUUAUGAUGCAAAGACAGUCUUCUCCUCUAUGUUCUGUCCAAAUCCCUUACCCAGAGAGUCGGCCAUCAAGCUCUAGAGGAUCCUCAGUGAGAGAUAUGACCUCUCAAUAUUCAAGAGUCACUCAUCUACAGGGGACCCUAGACUGCCCAGCAGUGAGACAUGGCAGGAAUGUGACUGUUAAGAGAAGAACACCUCAAGUGAGCAUGUGCAAAAUUUUGAGUCUCACUCUGUUGCCCGGGCUGGAGUGCAAUGGUUCGAUCUCAGCUCACUGUGACUUCCACCUCCCAGGUUCAAGCCAUUCUCCUGUCUCAGCCUACCGAAUAGCUGGGAUUAUAGGCAUGAGCCACCGUGCCCAGCCGUGUCUUCUCUUUUACCUGGCAACCCUACUAGAGGCUUUCAGAGAUAAAAAUCUGUUGGAUGACGUGCAGCUUACCCUUUCAAAGUUCCUUAAGGACCCUGGGGAAUGCAGCCAUCUGGAAUUUGCUGUCAUGCUGUGAUUUCUGCAGACGCGCAUGAAAUUUGGUGCCAUGACUCGGAUCGGGGGAACUCCCUUGGAAGAUCAAUCCCCUGUCCUCCUGCUCUUUGCUCCAUGAGAAAGAUCCGCCUACGACCUCAGGUCCUCAGGCCGACCAGCCCAAGAAACAUCUCACCAAUUUCAAAUCCACAGCUGAAGACUGACGCUGCCCGAUCACCUCGGAAGCCCCGUAGACCAUCACGGAUGCCGAGCUUCAGGUAACUCUCACAGUGGAAGGUAAGUCCGUCCCCUUAGUCAACACAGAGGCUACCCACUCCACAUUACCUUCUUUUCAAGGGCCUGUUUCCCUUACCUCCAUAAUUGUUGUAGGUAUUGACGGCCAGGCUUCUAAACCCCUGAAAACUCCCCCACUCUGGUGCCAACUUGGACAACACUCUUUUAUGCACUCUUUUUUAGUUAUCCCCACCUGCCCAGUUCCCUUAUUAGGCUGAGAUAUUUUAACCAAAUUAUCUGCUUCCCUGACUGUUCCUGGACUACAGCCGCAUCUCAUUGCCGCCCUUCUCCCCAACCCAAAGCCUCCUCUCAUCUUCCUCUCGUAUCCCCCCACCUUAACCCACAAGUAUGGGACAUCUUUACUCCUUCCCUGGCAACCGAUCACAUGCCCAUUACCAUCCCAUUAAGACCUAAUCACGCUUACCCCACUCAAUGCCAAUAUCCCAUCCCACAGCACACUUUAAAAGGAUUAAAGCCUGUUAUCACUCACCUGCUACAGCAUGGGCUUCUAAAACCUAUAAACUCUCCUUACAAUUCCCCCAUUUUACCUGUCCAAAAACUGGACAAGUCUUACAGAUUAGUUCAGGAUCUGUGCCUUAUCAACCAAAUUGUUUUGCCUAUCCCCCCUGUGGUGCCCAACUCAUACACUCUUUUGUCCUCAAUACCUUCCUCCACAACUCACUAUUCCGUUCUUGAUCUUAAAGAUGCUUUUUUCACUAUUCCCCUACACCCCUCAUCCCAGCCUCUCUUUGCUUUCACUUGGACUGACCCUGACACCCAUUAGGCUCAGCAAAUUACCUGGGCUGUACUGCUGCAAGCCUUCACAGACAGCCCCCAUUACUUCAGUCAAGCCCAAAUUUCAUCCUCAUCUGUUACCUAUCUCAGCAUAAUUCUCAUAAAAACACACAUGCUUUCCCUGCUGAUCGUGUCCGAUUAAUCUCCCAAACCUCAAUCCCUUAUAAAACAACAACUCCUUUCCUUCCUAGGCAUGGUUAGUGCGGUCAGAAUUCUUACACAAGAGCCAGGACCACACCCUGUAGCCUUUCUGUCCAAACAACUUGACCUUACUGUUUUAGCCUAGCCAUCAUGUCUCCGUGCAGCGGCUGCUGCGGCCCUAAUACUUUUAGAGGCCCUCAAAAUCACAAACUAUGCUCAACUUACUCUCUACAGUUCUCAUAACUUCCAAAAUCUAUUUUCUUCCUCAUACCUGAUGCAUAUACAUUCUGCUCCCUGGCUCCUUCAGCUGUACUCACUUUUUGUUAAGUCCCACAAUUACUAUUGUUCCUGGCCCGGACUUCAAUCUGGCCUCCCACAUUAUUCUGGAUACCACACCUGACCCUCAUGACUGUAUCUCUCUGAUCCACCUGACAUUCACCCAAUUUCCCCAUAUUUCCUUCUUUCCUGUUCCUCACCCUGAUCAUGCUUGAUUUAUUAAUGGCGGUUCCACCAGGCCUAAUUGCCACACACCAGCAAAGGCAGGUUAUGCUAUAGUACAAGCCACUAGCCCGCCUCUUAAAACCUCUCAUUUACUUUCCAUUGUGGAAAUCUAUCCUCAAGGAAAUAACUUCUCAGUGUUCCAUCUGCUAUUCUACUACUACUCAAAGAUUAUUGAGGCCCCCCUCCCUUCCCUACACAUCAAGCUCGAGGAUUUGCCCCACCCAGGACUGGCAAAUUAGCUUUACUCAACAUGCCCCGAGUCAGAUAACUAAAAUACCUCUUAGUCUAGGUAGACAAUUUCACUGGAUAAGUAGAGUCCUUUCCUAAAGGGUCUGAGAAGGCCACCGCAGUCAUUUCUUCCCUUCUGUCAGACAUAAUUCCUCAGUUUAGCCUUCUCACCUCUAUACAGUCUGAUAACAGACCAGCCUUUAUUAGUCAAAUCAGCCAAGCAGUUUUUCAGGCUCUUAGUAUUCAGUGAAACCUUUAUGUCCCUUACAGUCCUCAGUCUUCAGGAAAAGUAGAACAGACUAGUGGUCUUUUAAAAACACACCUCACCAAGUUCAGCCACCAACUUAAAAAGGACUGGACAAUACUUUUACCACUUUCCCUUCUCAGAAGUCAGACCUGUCCUCAGAAUGCUACAGGGUACAGCCCAUUUGAGCUCCUGUAUAGACGCUCCUUUUUAUUAGGCCUCAGUCUCAUUCCAGACACCAGACUAACUUAGACUGUGCCUCAAAAAACUUGUCAUCCCUACUAUCUUCUUUCUAGCCAUACUCCUAUUCACUGUUCUGAACUACUCAUACAUACCCCGCUCUUGUUUACACUGCUGGUUUACACUGUUUCUCCAAGCCAUCACAGCUGAUAUCUCCUGGUGCUAUCCCCAAACUGCCACUCUUAACUCUUGAAGUAAAUAAAUAAUCUUUGCUGACAGGACUAUGCUGAAUUUCCUUAGGCACUCUAAUUAGAUGUCCUAAGUCCUCCCAAUUCUUAGACCUUUAAUAUCUGUUUUUCUCCUUCUCUUAUUCUAUUUAGUUUUUCAAUUCAUACAAAACUGUAUCCAGGCCAUCACCAAUAAUUCUAAAUGACAAAUGUUUCUUCUAACAGUCCCACAACAUCACCUCUUACCACAAAAUCUUCCUUCAGCUUAAUCUCUCCCACUCUAGGUUCCCACGACGCCCCUAAUCCCGCUGGAAGCAGCCCUGAGAAGCAUCGCCCAUUAUCUCUCCAUACCAACCCCCAAAAUUUUCGCCACCCCAACACUUUAUCACUAUUUUGUUUAUUUUUCUUAUUAAUAUAAGAAGACAGGAAUGUCAGCCUCUGAGCCCAAGCUAAGCCAUCAUAUCCCCUGUGACCUGCACGUACACAUCCAGAUGGCCGGUUCCUGCCUUAACUGAUGACAUUCCACCACAAAAGAAGUGAAAAUGGCCUGUUCCUGCCUUAACUGAUGACAUUGUCUUGUGAAAUUCCUUCUCCUGGCUCAUCCUGGCUCAAAAGCUCCCCUACUGAGCACCUUGUGACCCCAACUGUGCCCGCCAGAGAACAACCCCCCUUUGACUGUAAUUUUCCUUUCCCUACCCAAAUCCUAUAAAACAGCCCCACUCCUAUCUCCCUUCGCUGACUCUCUUUUCGGACUCAGCCCACCUGCACCCAGGUGAAAUAAACAGCCAUGUUGCUCACACAAAGCCUGUUUGGUGGUCUC